rnacentral:lncRNA from 1 species
UCACAGGAGCGUGUGAGAAAUGGAGACAGAGGGAUUGGAGAGAUGAAGAUGGGGGAUCCGUGGUCUCUGAAGCCCCCAAUGCUUGUGUGAGGGAAGACCAUCAUAUUGGACUAGAACCUACCCUAAUAAUCCCAAUGAAACUUAAUGACUUCUUUGAAGGCCCUAUCUCCAUAUAAAGUCAUAUUCUAAGGUUCAGAAAUCCUAAGGAACCCAAGCAAGAUUUUUUACAAAGAAAGAAGUGUUCACCCAGAUACAGCCUAAUGAUACUUCAAAGAGACAGAUUGCUUACAAAGGAAUGACAAUGAAAUUGACUUCUUGAUAGCAUCCAUAGAAACUAUAGGUUUGCUUUUUCCAGUGAAGCUUUCUACCAGAAAAAAGGCAAAGAAGAUGGUUUUUCUGAUAAAGUCCCAUGAGAAUGCUCUGAUGACACUGGAAAAGCUUUCUUUCAUUCAUCCACCCACUGGUGACUUGGAAAAUAGCCUCUUCACCUUCAAAUGAGAGAAUAAUGCUGAAUUUUUCUGAAUUUCUAAGACGGGAAGUGAUGUAUCACUAAAACGGUGAGCUCUCACUGAAACAGGAAAUCUUCUACCAGUGUGGGUCUGAGUUGAUCUCUCCCUCCCUCCCUCCAACCAUCCAAUAAAUAUUUCAUUUUAAAAAAUUUUAAAAUGAAUUUUUCCUCUAGUGCUUGUUAAAACACAAAAUGAAUACUUCGUUGUUUACUUUUUAUUCAUUUGAUUUAUUUAUUUAGAGACGAGGUCUGGCUGGAGUCCAGUAGCCCAAUCAUGGCUCACUGCAGCCUUGAACUCCUGGGGUCCAGCUAUCCUCCCACCCAUGAGUAUUUCUAUAGGAACAAUUAUUCAUCAUGCAGAGUACUAGGUGCUGCAGGGAAGGGAAUAAAAAUAAUCUUUGCCCUUGAGGAUUUCAUGAGCAAAUAAGGAGAUACAUGCACAGAGCUAACUGUAAUGCAACUUAGAUCGAGUGCUAGUGUUUAUUUAUCAUCUAUAUGUGAAGUGUCGAGGAGGAGAUAUUAUAAGAACAUAAGUCAUUUCCCCUGACUUUAAGUGGCCGAUCAUCUUACUUGAGGUACAGAAUGUAAACCUGCUAAACGAAUCCCGGCAAAAUUCCCAGGAGUGACCUUGGAUUCAGAGCUCGAGGAGCACAAACUAAAAGAAAAACUCGUCCUGGCCUAUAGCUGUGCUUUCUCCCUGUCCUCUGGAGCAACAGUGGUAUGUCUCUGAAAAUGUACAUCAUCUCUGUGUGUGGGCAGCUCUGCUGGCAAAUACUUUUACAAGCUGUUUUCACCAGCCCUUCGCCUGCUCCACUGAAAUUCCCAGGGCUCAAGAGACCAAUUGCUUAACCAGGGUAGAGCUGUAUUUCCAUGUACAAUCGACAAGCCUGGCGUUUAAAGCACUAACAACAGCAGUGUGGAGUCCCAUUUUCUAGCAGUCCCAGGAGCCCAUUUUCUAGACCAGCUCUGUUCAAUGGAACUUUCUGCAGUGAUGGAAAGGCACACAUACUGUAGCCACCAGCUAAUGCAGCUAGUGAGCACUUGAGACAUGGCUAGUGAGACUGAAGAAAGGAAUUCUUAAUUGUAUUUAAUUUUAAUGCAUUUAAUUCAAAUUCGAACACCUUAAUUUUAAUGAAUUCAGUCUUAAAACCAUGGCUACUAUAUUAGACAGCAGAGUUCUAGAUCCUGAAGCUGAAGGACAGGGUGAAAUAAAGAGUCCUCCUUGAGCGAAUAGGUGGGUCCCCUGGUAAUUCACAGAAUUAUGUAGCUACCAAAGUGGGUAAAACCAGACCUUGACCUUCAACAGCCAGAUGGGCCCAUGCCACAGGGUUCAUCCUCCCUCUUCUCUCCUCUCCCACCCCCAGCUUCAAUAUAGUGGCUUCUAACAUGUUUUUAUUCCCAUGGAACAAGGAACUCACAAAGCCUCUUAAAUUGACCUCCAUUAGCCUGAAGGCUAAUCCCCUUUUCCCCUGCCUUGGCGACUUCAAAACUUUUCAUCAGAGUGAAUGGAAAGAUUAGGACACCAUCAGUGACACACCAAUAAAGAUGGGAUGAGGCUCAAAAACCUGCAUGAUUUAAAAUGUGUCUAGGUAAUUCUCCUGAGCUGCCAGACUUGGAAGCCAUGUGGCUUCAUACUGCAAAUAGAAACACAAUACAGAACUCACUGUGAUGAGACCAUUUACUCACACGGCAGAUAUUACUGAGCAUCUGAUAUGAGGUGGGCAUUCAUAUAAGUUAGGGAAAUAGCAGUGAAAAAGACAGACAAGAUUGCUUUCAUGGGGUCUAGUACGGGGAGACAAAAAUAAACCAUAAAUAAAUAAAAAGAUAAGUUGAGGCAGAGAGUAUUAAUUGACAUGGAGAAAAACAUUUGUGAUGAGAUAAAGACUGGGUUGGGAGCUACUUUAAGCUGCGUAGUCAGGGAAGUCCUCUCUUAGGAGAUGACACUGAUGCCGAGACUUGCAUGGUGCACAGUGAAUUGUGCUGAGGUCCUGGGGGAAAGCGUUCCAGGCAGAGGGCACAGCAAGCACAGAGGUCCUGAAACAGGAACAAGCCAGGGC